rnacentral:rRNA from 1 species
UACGAAGGGGGCUAGCGUUGCUCGGAAUCACUGGGCGUAAAGCGCACGUAGGCGGCUUUUUAAGUCAGAGGUGAAAUCCUGGAGCUCAACUCCAGAACUGCCUUUGAUACUGGAGAGCUUGAGUCCGGGAGAGGUGAGUGGAACUGCGAGUGUAGAGGUGAAAUUCGUAGAUAUUCGCAAGAACACCAGUGGCGAAGGCGACUCGCUGGACAAGUAUUGACGCUGAGGUGCGAAAGCGUGGGGAGCAAACAGG